UCAAAGUACCAAGGAAUUUUGCAGGCUUUUUCUCUCAAAAAAAUGCACGGACCAGUCGUUUGUCAUUCACCUUGAAACGCUAGAAUUUUACGGUGUUCACAGGCUUUAAGUAAUGGCGAGACGAAAACCUUUCUAAAAUUUGUUCCUAUUCUUGGUUUUUGCUUUCCGCCAUGGCUGCGAUUAUCCAUAUAAUCCCUUCUUUUACUGGAGUUUGUAACUCUUUGAAGCCAGGCAAUGGCCCUAUCUGCCGUUUUAGGGUUUCUACCCGUUCUAAGAGGAUAGGUGUGAAAAUUAGAGCAGUUGCAGAGCCAGCUGUUGGAGCUCCUGCCUUUCAUGCACAGGAAAUGGAGAGACUUGCUGCUAAAGAAUCGUUGAUGCUUGCUCUUCAGGAUUCUGGAGGCUAUGAAGCUUUAGUUACUGGGAGCAUAACCAAUGAGCAAAAAAUUGAUGUGACUGAAAGAAUCACAAGUCUCGAGAGGCUUAACCCCACACCUCGUCCUACUUCGUCACCCUAUGUGGAAGGUCAAUGGAAGUUUCUGUGGUGGGGAAGUGGCACCCCGCUUUUGUUUGCUACAAGAUAUUUGUUUGAGAUAGUUCCUUCUGCUCUAGCAUCUUUGUCAGGAUUGGAUGCUCUCUUCAAGGAUGGCUUUGGAUAUGCAACAGCAUCUUUGAAGUUCAUAAACGCGAUAGAAAGCAAGGUCACUGUGAAAACAAAGUUUACUGUUGAGGGACCAAUUCGGUUGAGAGAAGAAUAUGUUGAAGGUUUGUUAGAACCACCAUCUGUUAGUGAAGAGGCAAUUCCAGAACAGCUUAAGGGGGCAUAUGGACAAGCGUCUGGGACUCUCCAGCAAUUUCCUGAUCCUAUAAAGGAUGCCAUUUCCAAUGGACUGAAAAUCCCAUUAAGUACAAUACGAGCCACUGUCCCCGUUGAAUUGUAAAUGCAUUCUAUUUUUGCAGGUGGGACAUUCCAAAGGAUGAUCAUGAUAUCUUAUCUAGAUGAAGAAAUCUUCAUAUUAAGAAAUGUUAAUGGUGAACCAGAGGUUCUAUCAAGACAAGAUGCACCCCCAUCGCCUAUCUCUCCUGAUCGAAUUGACGAAUAUGAAAGCUAGUAUUUUGUAAUUGGAUUCCUAAAUGUAUCACGUGGGACAUAUCCCUCUUGGGAUGUGUAUUUAUUUGUGUAGCACCAGAAUAAGUCAAUCUCGUUCUUAAACGGAUGGUAGUGGAACUAUGUUUUCUUGUGUUUUAUUGAAUCCACUCCUCUUGCAAUGAAAACUCACAAAAGUUGAGGUGACAAAGUUCUUGGAUCAAUUACCUGC